AGCAAGCUCCCUGCUGAGCAAGGAGCCAAAUGCGGGACUGGAUCCCAGGACCCUGGGAACAUGACCCUAGCCAAAGGCAGGCGCUUAACCAACUGAGCCAGCCAGGCUCCCCAAGGGAGUUUAGUGAUUAUUAACAGGAUCCCUCAUCUGAGGUGGUCAGUGGAUUUGCUGGGUCAAGAGAAGAAAGCUAAGGCACAAAUCAUAGAGGAAAAUUGAAGUUCAAUGUGCCAGCUGAUUGAGCCAAGGUGGACAAUGGACCUAGACUGGGCCAAUCAUAUUCUUUCCUGAGAAUUUGCAAUUUGGAUUGAGACGUCUGUUCUUGAGCUUUCCCAUUGCAAGGUGCCGAACCACACGCUAUGCAGGUCAUCUCAUUUCUUCACGGACACUUUUAGAGGGCGCCUGGGCAGCUCAGUCGG